GAAAUUUAAGAAACUGUUUGUUAACUUUUAACUAAAAAAAUUAAGAACUGGUUCUUAAAUAAAGAUUUUAAAAACCGGUUCUUAACUUUUUUAGUUAAAAAUUAAAAAAUAGUCUCUUAACUUCC
rnacentral:pre_miRNA from 1 species